rnacentral:rRNA from 1 species
GAUGAACGCUGGCGGCGUGCCUAAUACAUGCAAGUCGAGCGAACAGACGAGGAGCUUGCUCCUCUGACGUUAGCGGCGGACGGGUGAGUAACACGUGGAUAACCUACCUAUCAGACUGGGAUAACUUCGGGAAACCGGAGCUAAUACCGGAUAAUAUAUUGAACCGCAUGGUUCAAUAGUGAAAGACGGUUUUGCUGUCACUUAUAGAUGGAUCCGCGCCGCAUUAGCUAGUUGGUAAGGUAACGGCUUACCAAGGCGACGAUGCGUAGCCGACCUGAGAGGGUGAUCGGCCACACUGGAACUGAGACACGGUCCAGACUCCUACGGGAGGCAGCAGUAGGGAAUCUUCCGCAAUGGGCGAAAGCCUGACGGAGCAACGCCGCGUGAGUGAUGAAGGUCUUCGGAUCGUAAAACUCUGUUAUUAGUGAAGAACAAAUGUGUAAGUAACUAUGCACGUCUUGACGGUACCUAAUCAGAAAGCCACGGCUAACUACGUG